UAAUCUCCACCAAUCAGAAUAAAGCACAAGAAUCCACUAUUUCUCAUUCAAAAAACUCAACUUCCACGUAUAUAUAUAACCAUGCAUUAUUUACCUGAUUAGCCUUUUCGCAAUCUGAAACCCUAGUUCCCAAAUCCAUCUAUUCUCACCUUUUCCAAUUUGUUACUUUGAUUCGCAAUGGCUCGUACGAAGUAGACCGCUUGUAAGUCCACCGGUGGAAAGGGUCAAAGGAAGCAACUCGCUAGCAAGGCUGCUAGGAAAUCUGCUCCAACAACCGGAGGAGUGAAGAAGCCUCAUCGUUAUCGUUCUGGAACUGUCGCACUACGGUGAAUUGGCCAAACAUGCUGUUUCCGAGGGUACUAAGGCUGUUACCAAGUUUACUAGCGCUUAGAGGAGAUUGGUUUGUUGGGUUAGGUUUUGUUUGGUUUAUGUAACUGGAUUUUGGUAAUUUAAUGUAAAGCUAGUUAAUGUUCAUUUAUUAGUUUGAGGUGCCUUGAAGUUGGACUGGAAGAAGACAACAAGUAGAGAAAUAUGCUAUGACC